rnacentral:lncRNA from 1 species
CGUCAGGUGCCCCAAUAUUAUUGGACGGUGUGCUCCUAUUACAUCGCAUACGGUGCACAAAGAAUUAUUUAGUUACAACAGUAGUAGUAGUCCGAUGCACAACCGUUCAAAAGAUGACUUUACCAUAAUCAGUACAAAUAGAAUUUCUAUAUCAAAUUGUUCUCAUUGCAUUCAUCAUCAAGUAACUGACUAAUGGAAC